CCUGAUAAAGCCAAACUCAUCGCGAGGUGGGGACGGAAAGCCACGGAUCUUCUCAUGUAAGAUAGCCGGGUUACCUGGA
rnacentral:ncRNA from 1 species